ensembl:snoRNA
AUCCUUUUGUAGUUCAUGAGCAUGAUGAUUGGGUGUUCACACGCAUGUGUGAGAUGUGCCACCCUCAAACCUUGUUACAAUGUUGGCACAUUACCCACCUGACC